GAGGAAAAGGAGAGGACUCCUGGUAAAAUAUCAGGUACAGACAGACAUACCCUAGUCUUGUGGCACCCAUGAAUAGAUCCAGUGAGCCUGUGCAGCUGUGUUUUGAUCAGCAGAGAAGUUUCCUGGCAUCCGAGAACUGAAAUCACCUUUUGGGUCAUCACACCUCACUGGAGGUUUCCCUGGCUUAAUGAGCAACUCUG